UGAAGCUAGAUUGCUAGACUUUGGUGGGUUUUAUGACAGGGGUGCUCAUGCGGUUUUGAUUUUUGUUACUUUGAACUUUCCCCUUCGGAAAUCAUUACCAUUUUCCCUUGAGGUCCAAAUUAUGCACAAUAAUGAAGCCCUGUUGUGAUUACUCUAAUAAUUAGGCAGUGUUAGCUUGCCGAUAGCCUAAGAGGUGAUGGUUGUUGAAGCCUGAAGGCGGCGACUAUACCUUUGGCUGUCUGGAAUUAUCUGUCAUCGUUUCUAAUUCUCCACCAGCACAUCCCACUACCCUGUCCUUAGUGACCUUUUCAUUCAGAGGCAGUGGUCCGCCACUAGUAGAGCUCUCCCCGUUCGAUGGCUAGGGUUGACUUGGAUCUUGGGACCAAAGCUGGGUAAUUUCUUACCACUUGGACAGUUAACCAUGGUGCAGGGACAGUCUUUUCUUCAUUGGUUUUCUCCACCAAAGAAAUAAAAAAAGAAAACGGGAGAGUAUCCUUUCUUUGCAACUAGACCGAACCUUUAGGGUUAUAUAUAGCUUCUCUGCAUACGGGGUAGAAAGAGACAGAAUGAGUGCAGAAGCAGAAGCAGAGUACUUCUCCAAAGACUUUGAAUGGGAAACACUAAGACAAGAAAUAGAAGAUAACCCUUCUUAUCAAUACCACUUACUCCCUUUCACUUAUACUCCUCCUUCACAACAAGAAGAAAUUCAAGUAAGUGAAGAUUCAAAAGCAUGGAAAAGAUUCCAUCUUCGCCAUUCCUCUGGCAAAUUCUUCAAGGAGAGAAGGUAUUUGUUGAAGGAAUUCCCUGAGUUGGUUUCUUGUAAAGAGUUUUCGAAGGUUUUGGAAGUUGGCUGUGGCAAUGGCAGUUCUGCUAUUCCUAUCUUACGUGGCAACAAGGACAUUAUUGUAUAUGCUUGUGAUUGUAGCAGUGAGACUCUUGAGAGGGCUAAAGAGAUUGUUCAUUCCACUGAUAUAUUCGCAGUCCAAAAUCGUUUCCACCCAUUCUUCUGUGAUUUUGCUUUUACUGGGUUCCCGAAAUGGUUGGUUUGUGAUUCUUGUGUAGAAAGUUCUUCACUGAAACAGCAAGAAUACUCCUCAGAUGUUAAAGAGGGUGGUGUGGCAGAUAAGAGUGGUUCGUAUGUGUCAAGAGAAUGUGGCUGUUGCAUUGGUGGGGUUGAUAUUGUUAGCUUGAUAUUCACACUAUCAGCGGUGCCACAAAAAAAAAUGUCCUCAGCUAUAAUGGAGUGCUUUUCUGUCCUGAAGCCUGGUGGCCUGCUACUUUUCAGGGAUUAUGGGCUCUAUGAUAUGACUAUGCUGCGGUUUGAGCAAGAAAAGAGAGUGGGGUUCCGUGAGUACAUGCGCUCAGAUGGAACUCGUUCUUAUUUCUUCUGUUUGGAUACGGUCAGGGAUCUUUUUGUGGGUGUAGGCUUCAUUGAGCUUGAGCUUGAGUAUUGUUGUGUCAAGUCUGUGAAUCGCCGUAAAGGGAAGAGCAUGCAGAGGGUGUGGGUUCAUGGGAAGUUCCGAAAGCCCGCAUAAAGUAGCAGUCAAGAUGUCUCUUGUCGAGGUACAACUUUCAAGAGAUAAAACCUUCUUGUUCUCCCACCAUACAUUUCAGGAGCGUUUGGAAACGCGGCUUCUGUGCCAAGGGCAGCUUUGACUUCUGUGGCAAAAGCGAACUGGUGUGUGGAAUGGAUGUCGACUCAAGCUUACUCCUUGAAGCCUCCUCCUUGGAUGUUGCAGUUUCCUACUGCACAGAAGCACCCUUUGGCUAUUUGAAGCUAAAGCUUGAUUGCAUUUCUGGGUUCUUACGUCCAGAAUGUGAUGUUCUUUCCUUUGGGUUUUCUGCCCUCUCUCCAUUAAAUUUUCAAAAAA